UUUGCCGCUGGCUUUUGAGCUAUUCUUAAUCCUGUCAGCACAAUUAAUGAGGGAAAAAUAGUUCCCAGAAGAAAAGUAGCUGGAGGCACUGACCUGCCCUCCAACCCCCUCAUGCCAAGAGGUGCAAAGUCUAGAGAAAGUUUCCCCGGUGAGAGUUACUGGGAAAAUGACUCUCGGUCCUGGGUAAAACUUUCUUUCUUUGUCAACCUCAAGGGCAAGUUAGUUUAUGGCCAAGAAUAUACACGGUGCUUCAAAUGCAAAGGAAGACACUCUCUCUUCAAAUGGUUUACGGCUUAGAUGGGGAAGAAAUGUCUACACUCUAGAAAUGAAAUGAUGAAAGGACCUUACAGAGCAGGGGUACUCCUGAGCGAGCCAGGGGAUUCACAGAGAUGACCUCUUGCUAGGUUACCCAGGCUGGACUUGAACUCCUGGGCUCAAGUGAUCGACCUGUUUCAGCCUCCUGAGUAGCUGGGAGUACAGGUGCAUAUCACCAUGGCUGGCAACUUGCCUUGAUUCUUUGCUUCAUCUGAAUUUUGGAAGAUUGGUGACAUUAUCAUUGGUAUCAGUGGAACAACUAUCCUGAUUUGCCUCGGAUUGAGAGAUUUCUUGGCAUGGGGGCUUUGAGUGCUAAAACUGAGUCAGUCCCAGGUAAGGCUUGGUCACCCUAUCCCAUCCCUGCACAGCCCUUUGAGGCAAGCUGACGAACACACCUUUCUCCUCCACCAAGAGGCAGCUCAUGUCUCCCACCCUGUCCAUCCUAAACAAAAGAAUCCUCAUACAGGGGAAAUACACAAUAUGGAUGUGCUGAAGUAAUACAAGAAAGAAUGACAUGCCCUGGUCUUCCAACACUGGUCUGUACCCAACUAGAAAAGAGGACUGGCUUGGGAAUUAGCAGACAAGCUCAAUUAUUAACUUUUGUGUUAACUUUUGCCAAGCGACUAAUUUACUGCCACUGAGUUUUCCUGUCUGUAAAGAGGGGCAACAACUAGAGGUCUCUAAGCUUUCUUCUCCAUUAUACACUCCAAAGCUUGAUUGUAUAGGAACCAAUACAGUGCCUCCACCCUGCCCGAACUCAUUGUAUCCUUAAGUCCCAGAAAUUGCACACCAAGCCAUCUUGGAGGCCUCUCUUUUAGCUCAGCCCAAAUAAUGAACCCAGCUCAGGGUCAGACAUGGGGUAGAGUCUCAGCGCUUUUGCUCAGGGGUAGACCCUUUAGCUUAGUGCUGUCUGAUAAAAUUUUCUGCAGUGAUGAAAAUAUUCUGCAUUUGAACUGUCCAAUAUGGUAGCCAUUAGUCACAUGACUAUAUUUUAAAUUUAUUAAAAUGAAAUUUAAAUUUUAGUUCCUGAGUCAGAAUAAUCACAUUUCAAGGGCUCACUAGCCACAUAUAGCUAAUGGCUACAAUAUUGGACAGUGCCAACUGAGAACACUUCCAUCAUUGCGAGUUGUUCUAUUGAGCACCAUAGUUUUAGAGGACCAUUUUGAACAUUUUCUCAGUAGCUGGGGAAGUAUCCAGAGUAGAAAAAUGAGGAGAAAGACAGGAAAUGGGAGGGAAAGUGGCCAUCACCAGCAAUAAACUUCAUCUAUUGGCAUGGAAUUGUGGGAACAAUGUAGCCAGCUUAUUGGAAAUGGGACAUCUUAAAUCUUAUUAUAGGCAACAAUCUUCCAAAAGUCAAUUAAAAUGCGUGAAAAUAUAUCCUUCAGUGACACCAAGGUGGAAGUUCAGGCAUGGAAACUUUCUUUUCACGAACACCCCUAACUGGGCUAACUCUUUGUUUAACAAUAGAAAGCACCAGGCAGUACCAUUAAUCAGCUAAAUGUAAAUGUGGAAAAUUACUUUUUUUGCAAGAAUCAUGAUAGGAGAUUUUUUUCCCCCAAGCAUUUUGUAGAAUAAAAAAAAAUACAUGGAAAGUGUUUUGUUUAUUAUUGAAAUAAAGCAAAAAUCAAAAUUCAUGGUUAAGUGUUCAACUCUUGAAAGCAGCAUUACUGUCCUUGCUUAGGGAGUAAAUAAAGAAUAUUUUGUAGAAUUGGAGCCCCAGUAAGGAUGUUGGCAACAAAGCAUUGCAAUUCCAGCAGUAGAUUCUUAGUUCCAACUCUGGCACUGGAAUCUCUGUGACCUAGGGCAACUGACUUAAUCUCCCUGGCCUCAGUUUUCAUCUUGAGUUGGAGAAAGAUGGCAUUGGACAGGGUCCCUGGCAUCAUUAACAUUCUAGGAUCACUUUUGUGACCACAUUCCUGACUUCUGCCAUAGACAUUAAUGCUUACAUCUUUUAUCAUAGCCAUAAAUAUUGUUUCUUUUAACACUCACAGAUGAUCAGUGUUGUCAGUUGCCCUCACUGAAGGCUCCCAUAAUCAAACCUCUAAGCACUGUAGGCCUGGCAAACCUUCAGGUUUUCUGAAACCCUCAUACAGGGGGAUACUCAGCAUUAAACUACUCUGCUCAGAGUGAGGAGUGAACACCUCUCAGAGAAAUAGGAGCCCCAGCAACCGUAGACCUACCCAGAGGUGAGAGCAGAGGCUCCACCCUACUUGUAAGUGCAGCUGUAGUGUUGGAGCCAUUUCCAACUUGGCCACUCAUCAAUGACAUGACUUGGAACAAGUCCUU
rnacentral:lncRNA from 1 species